AUUGAACGCUGGCGGCAGGCCUAACACAUGCAAGUCGAGCGGUAACAGGGGAGCUUGCUCCCGCUGACGAGCGGCGGACGGGUGAGUAACGCGUAGGAAUCUACCUGGUAGUGGGGGAUAGCUCGGGGAAACUCGAAUUAAUACCGCAUACGCCUUAAGGGGGAAAGUGGGGAUCUUCGGACCUCACGCUAUCAGAAGAGCCUGCGUAGGAUUAGCUAGUUGGUAGGGUAAAGGCCUACCAAGGCGACGAUCCUUAACUGGUCUGAGAGGAUGAUCAGUCACACCGGAACUGAGACACGGUCCGGACUCCUACGGGAGGCAGCAGUGGGGAAUAUUGGACAAUGGGGCAACCCGUGAUCCAGCCAUGCCGCGUGUGUGAAGAAGGCCUCGGGUUGUAAAGCACUUUAAGCAGGGAGGAAGGCUUGAUGGCUAAUAUCCAUCAGGAUUGACGUUACCUGCAGAAUGAGCACCGGCUAACUCCGUGCCAGCAGCCGCGGUAAUACGGAGGGUGCAAGCGUUAAUCGGAAUUACUGGGCGUAAAGCGCGCGUAGGCGGCUGAUUAAGUCGGGUGUGAAAGCCCCGGGCUCAACCUGGGAACUGCACUCGAUACUGGUCGGCUGGAGUAUGAGAGAGGGAGGUAGAAUUCCACGUGUAGCGGUGAAAUGCGUAGAUAUGUGGAGGAAUACCGGUGGCGAAGGCGGCCUCCUGGCUUAAUACUGACGCUGAGGUGCGAAAGCGUGGGGG
rnacentral:rRNA from 1 species